CUACGGGGGGCAGCAGCAAGGAAUUUUGUGCAAUGGGCGAAAGCCUGACACAGCGACGCCGCGUGGGGGAAGAAGGCCUUCGGGUUGUAAACCCCUUUUCCCAGGGAAGAAUAAUGACGGUACCUGAGGAAUAAGUCACGGCUAACUACGUGCCAGCAGCCGCGGUAAUACGUAGGUGGCAAGCGUGUAUCCGGAUUUAUUGGGCGUAAAGAGGGUGUAGGUGGUCUUUCAAGUUGGAUGUAAAAUUUCUCGGCUUAACCGGGAGGGCGCGUCCAAUACUGUUAGGCUGGAGGGCAGCAGAGGGAGGUGGAAUUCCCGGUGUAGUGGUGAAAUGCGUAGAUAUCGGGAGGAACACCAGUGGCGAAGGCGGCCUCCUGGGCUGUUACUGACACUGAGACCCGAAAGCGUGGGGAGCGAACAGGAUUAGAUACCCCGGUAGUC
rnacentral:rRNA from 1 species